UAUAUAGGUUAUUUAACGGCUGGGAGGUCCGGCCUCGGUCAGCAUUUCCCAGACCUCUGUCACAGUUUUUCUCUAUUCGGACCGACCUCAAGUCGGUAAAUAACUUAUUUAUUUUACCCUUAAAACAUUGUUCGAAAAUCCCGCAGUCAAGAUAUUUUAGUAUCUUGCGUCACAGUCACGUGGUUUCUCUGUAUGUCGCUUACAUACAGUAAAACCACGUGACACUUGUAUUCCACUCACAAGAUGGCGUCCUCGAUGAAGCUGGAUUCCGAAUAUUAGAGCAGCUGAAUUGUAAGCAUUGGCCAUGCAAUCUUACUACCACCGUUUUUAUCUUAAUUAUAUAGACAUACACAGAAAACAGACAAAAUCGCUUCAAAUGAUUCAUCAGAAUUCAUCACUCGAGGUCCCGAAUGUAGUUUCCUAUAUUAUAAAACGAGUUGUGUAUAUAAGCUUAUUACCUAGCAAAACACUGGUGUUUCCUAUAUUAUAAUUUUACGAGUUGUGUAUAUAAGCUUAUUACCUAGCAAAACACUGGUGUCUAUAUUAUAAAUAAUUAUGACACUGGACGAAAUAAAGAAUUUAAGUGCAUUUUAGACAUAUCCGAAAUGUACCUUAAAUUUACUACUGUCUAUAUGUUGCAUUUAAAGGCCACACUUAAAGUCAGUAGUAACUUUAACAAUAAUUUAAGUUACAUUUAAGUAGGGCUCUUAUAGUCAGUAGCAACUUUAAGUAGAUAUUGAUUGUUAACUUAAAUUCCUUUAAAUGCAGUAUUGACUUUAAGUAACUUUCUUUGCCUUUAUCGAAAACUUAUAAUCUUUAGGAGAUUUAAGUGUCUUUCAUUAGUUCUAAAUUUCAUCAUAUUCGUUGGACUUAGAAAAUAUUUUCCGUAGUUUAGAAGUUAAUUUAGUUUCUAAACAUAAUAUUUUUUGGCUAAUAUCAGGAACGUUUUAUGAAACGCAUAUAAAUAGCUUUAAGAAUAUUCGGUUUCUUGUUUAACCAAGUGAUUUGUAUUUUAGCAGAAAGAAAAAGCGAUGAAAAAUUGAUAUUCGCAUUAUUUUAGGAUUACUUUGCCUUUAGCAGUAAUAAUAACAGCUUCACCUAUGGAGAGGAAGUCAGUCAUAUGCGAGAGGAAGUGACGCGCAAGCGUAUCUAUUGUUUUCCCUUCACGUGACUACCACGGCGGGGUAUUCGCAUAGCGUGUUUAGAAGUGUGACUUUGGUUCAUCUAACUUCUUUCUAAGUCCACGCCAAAAGAUUCGCUAUUUCUUUCUAUGACAUCAAAUCGAAUGGCGAAGCCUACCAAUGAAAACAUGUUGACCACAUAACCUUCAAGUUUGGAGGGAAAACAGAGCUUUAAAUGCGGGAAAUCAGCGACUGCGUGCGUGAGGUGAGAAUUGAACAGUGAAGACAGAACUCGCUGAAAUUCUCGCCGAAAGGGAGCCUCAGAGACUUUCAGCUGCAAUGCAUGUCCAUUUCAGAACUAAAAAGAGGGAGCAUGUCACCAAAGCAAAUGACAGUUAUGAUGCCACCUUAAACAGGCAGAGAAAGCGCAGCCGGCUUAACACAAAAACAACGCUACGAAAAAAGACCUUGAGGGAAAGCUCCAUCAUCAACGAGGAGAGAAAAGGGAAAUACUUUGAAAUCAUGUCUGUGGGCUAUAUGUCCUCGGAGCACACAAGGUCUGAUGGAGAAAAUGAGGGGUCUGACGAGGAAGCACCUAAACUGCUUUACAAGCAUAAGCUUCCAUGGAGGAGUGAGGAGGCCGAUUCAUUGAUGGCCUACUUAGAAAAAAAAGUUAGGAAGGGCAGGGGCCAGAGAAGCACAAACAUGAUGUUCAGGAGGAAAGAUGGUGCUAAUUCGAAAAGAACUGUACCAAUUGAUGCUCCCGAUUGGGCUGUGAAGCAUCAGCUUUAGGUUGUCUACAUGCAAGCUAUUCUUUUCGAAUUAGCACCAUCUUCUCUAUUUUGCUAUGAAUGAUGGACUUGUGCGUUGGCACAAAAAAUGUUAUUGUUGAAGCAUAUAGUGAUCGACUUUGAUUUACAAAUUCACAACGAUUUUUAUUACAACAAGUUCAUGAGUAUUCAGAUUUAUUAUUGAACUAUUUUCCUCGAAAAACAGUAGAUGAGGCUACAAUUUAUUAUAUAAAGAAGAUGUGAUUUAUUUAGAAUAUUGAAAGAAUAAUAUUCAAAGAAUUAUUACUUUGACCAACUAUAAUGUUUAUAGUAAUUUAUUUAUUUUGAAAUAUACACUUAUCGGACCAAACCAAAUGUAUAAAUACCGAUUAUAUUUUACUGAUUACAGAAAAUACAUGAAAUAAAGGAUUUCAGUAGA